CCUACGGGCGGCAGCAGUGGGGAAUAUUGGGCAAUGGGCGCAAGCCUGACCCAGCAACGCCGCGUGAAGGAAGAAGGCUUUCGGGUUGUAAACUUCUUUUCUCAGGGACGAAGAAAGUGACGGUACCUGAGGAAUAAGCCACGGCUAACUACGUGCCAGCAGCCGCGGUAAUACGUAGGUGGCAAGCGUUAUCCGGAUUUACUGGGUGUAAAGGGCGUGUAGGCGGGACUGCAAGUCAGAUGUGAAAACUACGGGCUCAACCCGUGGCCUGCAUUUGAAACUGUAGUUCUUGAGUACUGGAGAGGCAGACGGAAUUCCGAGUGUAGCGGUGAAAUGCGUAGAUAUUAGGAGGAACACCAGUGGCGAAGGCGGACUGCUGGACAGCAACUGACGCUGAGACGCGAAAGCGUGGGGAGCAAACAGGAUUAGAUACCCGGGUAGUC
rnacentral:rRNA from 1 species